rnacentral:rRNA from 1 species
UGGGGAAUUUUGGACAAUGGGGGCAACCCUGAUCCAGCCAUGCCGCGUGUGUGAAGAAGGCCUUCGGGUUGUAAAGCACUUUCGGACGGAACGAAAUCGCGCGAUCUAAUAAGUUGCGUGGAUGACGGUACCGUAAGAAGAAGCACCGGCUAACUACGUGCCAGCAGCCGCGGUAAUACGUAGGGUGCGAGCGUUAAUCGGAAUUACUGGGCGUAAAGUGUGCGCAGGCGGCAGAGCAAGUCGAGUGUGAAAGCCCCGGGCUUAACUUGGGAAUUGCGCUCGAAACUACUUUGCUGGAGUGUGGCAGAGGAAGGUGGAAUUCCACGUGUAGCGGUGAAAUGCGUAGAGAUGUGGAGGAACACCAAUGGCGAAGGCAGCCUUCUGGGCCAACACUGACGCUCAUGCACGAAAGCGUGGGGAGCAAACAGGAUUAGAUACCC